GGAAUAUUGGUCAAUGGGCGGAAGCCUGAACCAGCCAAGUAGCGUGCAGGACGACUGCCCUAUGGGUUGUAAACUGCUUUUAUGCGGGGAUAAAGUGGGCCACGCGUGGCUUAUUGCAGGUACCGCAUGAAUAAGGACCGGCUAAUUCCGUGCCAGCAGCCGCGGUAAUACGGAAGGUCCGGGCGUUAUCCGGAUUUAUUGGGUUUAAAGGGAGCGCAGGCUGAUGAUUAAGCGUGACGUGAAAUGUAGCCGCUCAACGGCUGAACUGCGUCGCGAACUGGUUAUCUUGAGUGAGUUCGAUGUUGGCGGAAUUCGUGGUGUAGCGGUGAAAUGCUUAGAUAUCACGAAGAACUCCGAUUGCGAAGGCAGCCAACAAGGCCUUUACUGACGCUAAAGCUCGAAGGUGCGGGUAUCGAACA
rnacentral:rRNA from 1 species